UGGGUUGUGGCUCAGUGGCAGAGCUCUUGCCUAGCAAGUGAGGUACUGUGUUCGAUUCUCAGCACCACAU
rnacentral:tRNA from 1 species